UCCGAUUGACCUCAAAUUUUGCACACAAGUUACAUUUGACAUUACGGACUUGUUUCAGCUUCCGAAAUCAAAAUCCGACCCUGAUAUCAAAAAGUCCACUACCGGUCAAAAUUUCAACUUUCGCCAUUUCAAGCCAAAUUCUACUACGGACCUUCAAAUCACAAUCUGAAUGUGUUCCUGAGUCCAAAAUCACCCAACAGAGCUAACAGAACCAUCAAAAAUCCAAUCCGAAGUCAAAUACUAAAAAGUCAAACUUGAUCAACCCUUUCAAAUUUAAAGCUUCUAGUUAAGAAUCGUUUUUUCAAAUCAAUUCUGAAUGACCUGAAAAUUAAAACUGACGGUUCACGUAAGUCAUAAAUAUAUCAUACGAAGCUACUCAUGCCCUCAACAGCCAAGCGAAGUGCAAAUGCUCAAAAUGACCAGCCGGGUCGUUAAAAAAAGCUUGAUUCAAACACACAAAAGCACUAAUCCAUAUGACCUAGUAACUGUUAACAAACUCAUCAAAUAUAGAACAAAGAUAACAUAAAGAAAUAUCAAAUAUUUUCUUCAUUACCUAUAAACAUAAAGAUAAUAUGGGAAUAAUUUCACCGUUUCAAACAGACCCAAUAAAAUACUUUGGCAAUAAACAAUUAUAAGCUCUAACACGCAAACAACAAACCAUAGGCUUGAACCUAAAUUCUAAAAUCGUGAUUAUUUUGAACUCUAAACCCAAAACCUUGAUUCCAUCACACGAAAGUACUAAUCCAUAUGAACUAUUAACUGUUAACAAACUCAUCAAAAUAUAGAAUAAAGAUAACAUAAAGAAAUAUAAAUAUUUUCUUCAUUACCUAUAAACAUAAAGAUAAUAUGAGAAUACUUUCACCGUUUCAAACAGACCUAAUAAUAAUAAUAAUAAUAAUAAUAAUAAUAAUAAUAAUAAUAAUAAUAAUGCAAAUUAACAAAUAUGUAAGCUUUUCCUAGUGGAGAUAUUAUCAAGCACUUUAUGGGCAUCACUAAUAUUACAAGCGGAUUUAAAAAGUGAAAUGUAAGAAAACCCAGAAAAAGUUAGAGAUUGUAUAUAUAUAAAACAAUAAAUCAAAUAAAAUUAUUACCUGCAUAUAUGAAAUCCUACAAUAACUACCCAAAAAAUAGAAAAGUAACAGAUUAGCCAUAAAGGCAUAACUCAGCACAUUAAACAAAGAAAAAUGAAGAAAAUAUCACCUGAACUAAUUCAUCUUAAAUUUGCAAUCUCUUCUGUAACCCCUGCCAUAUGAAUAUCAUUGUCAAGAUCUAAGAACACAAUUGCUCAAAAAAAUAGUAUUUUAGAUGACAAGACUUGCAAGAGUUGAUCCAUCGAAAUAAACCUCCAAAAUGGCAAUACAACGGAAUCAUUCAUCAAUUGGUGCUAAAAUGCGAGGAGUCGAAAGAAAUGUCGGGUAUUCGAGAAGCAAACAAUGGAGGAGAGCUAGGGAGAAAGCAUCCGUAGAGAUGAGAAAUUGAGC
rnacentral:lncRNA from 1 species